UCUCGAUUCGUCUAGUGGUUAGGAUACCUGCUUGUCAUCUCUGAGUGCGCAGGUGGCCGGGGUUCAAUUCCCCGAUCGAGAG